CUUGCUAAUUUGCUGACGAGCGGCGGACGGGUGAGUAAUGCCUGGGAAUAUGCCUUGAUGUGGGGGAUAACUAUUGGAAACGAUAGCUAAUACCGCAUAAUGCCUACGGGCCAAAGAGGGGGAUCUUCGGACCUCUCGCGUCAAGAUUAGCCCAGGUGGGAUUAGCUAGUUGGUGGGGUAAUGGCUCACCAAGGCGACGAUCCCUAGCUGGUUUGAGAGGAUGAUCAGCCACACUGGAACUGAGACACGGUCCAGACUCCUACGGGAGGCAGCAGUGGGGAAUAUUGCACAAUGGGGGAAACCCUGAUGCAGCCAUGCCGCGUGUAUGAAGAAGGCCUUCGGGUUGUAAAGUACUUUCAGUUGUGAGGAAGGCGGUAACGUUAAUAGCGUUACCGUUUGACGUUAGCAACAGAAGAAGCACCGGCUAACUCCGUGCCAGCAGCCGCGGUAAUACGGAGGGUGCGAGCGUUAAUCGGAAUUACUGGGCGUAAAGCGCAUGCAGGCGGUCUGUUAAGCAAG
rnacentral:rRNA from 1 species